rnacentral:rRNA from 1 species
GGUGAACGCUGGCGGCGUGCUUAAGACAUGCAAGUCGAACGGCAGUCUUCGGACUGUAGUGGCGCACGGGUGAGUAACGCGUAACUGACCUACCCCAAAGUCGCGGAUAACGAUUCGAAAGAAUCGCUAAUACGUGAUGUACUGUCAGAUUGUGUUCCGCCAGUAAAGAUUGAUUGCUUUGGGAUGGGGUUGCGUUCCAUCAGCUAGUUGGUGGGGUAAAGGCCACCAAGGCGACGACGGAUAGCCGGCCUGAGAGGGUGGCCGGCCACUGGGGCACUGAGACACGGGUCCCACUCCUACGGGAGGCAGCAGUUAGGAAUCUUCCACAAUGGGCGAAAGCCUGAUGGAGCGACGCCGCGUGAGGGAUGAAGGUCUUCGGAUCGUAAACCUCUGAAUCAGGGACGAAAGGCACUUCGGUGGGAUGACGGUACCUGAGUAAUAGCACCGGCUAACUCCGUGCCAGCCGCCGCCGUAACAC